GGAGGAGGCUCCUGGCCCCUGGCUUCGGAUCGGCGCAGCCCCGGCUGUUGUGGCCAUUUGGUUUGGAACAAAGGUCUCCAUCAUCUGCUUAACCAGUCCCCCUCUCUCCAUCUGUGCUUCGGGGUGAAGACCCCCAGCUCUUCUCACAGCCAGCUCUCUGCUAUGGCCUUGGAAAGAAGAAGAUGGCCCAAGUGCUUGAGCCCCUGCACUCUCAUGGGAGACUGGGAAGAAGCACCUGGCUCCUGGCUUCAGAUUGUCCCAGUUCCUGUCAUUGGGGCCAUCUGGGGAGUGAACCAAUGGAAGGAAGACCUUUCUCUCUGUCUCUCCCUCUCACUGUC